GGAGUUAGCCGGUGCUUCUUCUGUGAGUGAUGUCCUUCCUGCCGGUUAUUGACCCGCAGGCCUUCUUCCUCACUGAAAGUGCUUUACAACCCGAAGGCCUUCUUCACACACGCGGCAUGGCUGGAUCAGGGUUGCCCCCAUUGUCCAAUAUUCCCCACUGCUGCCUCCCGUAGGAGUCUGGGCCGUGUCUCAGUCCCAGUGUGGCUGAUCAUCCUCUCAGACCAGCUACGGAUCGUCGCCUUGGUGAGCCGUUACCUCACCAACCAGCUAAUCCGACAUAGGCUCAUCCGAUAGCGCGAGGCCCGAAGGUCCCCCGCUUUCCCCCGUAGGGCGUAUGCGGUAUUAGCCUGGGUUUCCCCCAGGUUAUCCCCCACUACCGGGCAGAUUCCUAUGCAUUACUCACCCGUCCGCCGCUCGCCACCAGGGAGCAAGCUCCCCGUGCUGCCGCUCGACUUGCAUGUGUUAGGCCUGCCGCCAGCGUCAUCUGAGCAGAUACAACUACUGA
rnacentral:rRNA from 1 species